UAUAAUAGAUUGGCUCUCUGAAAAAUUGCAGCAGCUUCACAUUACCAGAAGAAGAGCUGUCCGGAUCCCUCCAGCAUAUGACCCUAGCAACUGAAGCUGGCUUGUCUGACACUCUCUGCUGCUCCUGCUGGCAGCUUGAAACAGCAAGUUUUUAGUGCUGUGCAGCUGGGAGAGAGUGCUGACUUCCUUGGUAACCGCUCUGAUCUGCACAUAGGCAAAUACAAGAAACAGUGGCAGGUUGAACAGGAAGCAAAGGUGCAAAAUGUUGGAAAGAAUAUCUGUAUUGAAAAUGAUUGGAAAGGAUUGUGUUCCCAGAUGAAAAUUAUUAAUCUGUGACUAUUUUUCUCUCCUAAGGGGGGAAAUCUCUCAGCUGAUAUAUUCUUGUAUUCUCUAGCUGCAACAAUUUAAUCAAAUCUAGAGAGUCUAAUAAAUGAUUUUCUUAUUUUC